UUGGGUUUAAAGCGCGCGUAGGCGGUGGGUUACGUCUGCCCGUGAAAUCCCCCGGGGCUCAACCUGGGGAAUGGCGGUGGAAACGGGCUGACUGGAGUAUGGGAGAGGGUGAUGGAAUUCCAGGUGUAGCGGUGAAAUGCGUAGAGAUCUGGAGGAACACCAGUGGCGAAGGCGGUCACCUGGCCCAAUACUGACGCUGAGGCGCGAAAGCGUGGGGAGCGAACGGGAUUAGAUACCCUUGUA
rnacentral:rRNA from 1 species